UACGAAGGGGGCGAGCGUUGUUCGGAAUUACCGGGCGUAAAGGGCGCGUAGGCGGCGACCCAAGUCAGAUGUGAAAGUCCUGGGCUUAACCUGGGGACUGCAUUUGAUACUGGGUUGCUUGAAUUCGGGAGAGGAUAGCGGAAUUCCCAGUGUAGAGGUGAAAUUCGUAGAUAUUGGGAAGAACACCGGUGGCGAAGGCGGCUAUCUGGACCGACAUUGACGCUGAGGCGCGAAAGCGUGGGGAGCAAACAGG
rnacentral:rRNA from 1 species